rnacentral:ncRNA from 2 species
UGCUAAGGUUGAGGCGCAGUUAUUAUCAGUAGAUAACAAAAGGGUGAUUCCGUUUUAAUUGUUAUUGAAAGGAGUAACUGCCGAAAUGAAUGAUUUUAUCACGGUCAUUUGUUGGGGUUAUUUUCGAAAGAGGUAACACUGCCAUAGUCUAUUGUGUUGUUAAACUAUGGAGCGCUAUUGUGGGA